UACGUAGGGACCGAGCGUUGUCCGGAUUCAUUGGGCGUAAAGAGCUCGUAGGCGGCUGCUCAAGUCGAAUGUGAAAACUCGAGGCUCAACCUCGAGACGUCGAUGGAAACCAUCUGGCUAGAGUCCGGAAGAGGAGAGUGGAAUUCCUGGUGUAGCGGUGAAAUGCGCAGAUAUCAGGAAGAACACCCGUGGCGAAGGCGGCUCUCUGGUACGUGACUGACGCUGAGACGCGAAAGCGUGGGGGAGCAAACAGG
rnacentral:rRNA from 1 species